GGAUGAACGCUGACAGAAUGCUUAACACAUGCAAGUCUUUGGCGAAGCUGUGCUUGCACAGCCUAGCCAAGGCGGACGGGUGAGUAACGCGUAAGGAACUUGCCCUGCAGUCAGGGAUAACAGACGGAAACGACUGAUAAGACCUGGUAAAGUCAGGCGGACUCAUGUCCAGCCUGAUGAAAAGAGAUGCUGCAGGAGAGCCUUGCGUCCUAUUAGCUUGUUGGUGGGGUAACGGCCCACCAAGGCGAUGAUAGGUAGCCGGCCUGAGAGGGUGGACGGCCACAAGGGGACUGAGAUACGGCCCUUACUCCUACGGGAGGCAGCAGUGGGGAAUAUUGGACAAUGGGGGCAACCCUGAUCCAGCAAUUCUGUGUGCACGAUGAAGGUUUUCGGAGUGUAAAGUGCUUUCAGCAGGGAAGAAAAAAAUGACGGUACCUGCAGAAGAAGCGACGGCUAAAUACGUG
rnacentral:rRNA from 1 species